GGUGGCUCAGUGGUACAGUGCUUGCCUUGCAUGCAUGAGGCUCUGGGUUCAAUUCCUCAGCACCA
rnacentral:tRNA from 1 species